UACGGAGGGUGCAAGCGUUGUUCGGAAUCACUGGGCGUAAAGCGCGUGUAGGCGGCUUGGUAAGUCGGAUGUGAAAGCCCGGGGCCCAACCCCGGAAUUGCAUUCGAAACUCCCAAGCUAGAGUCCUGGAGAGGAAGGCGGAAUUCCCGGUGUAGAGGUGAAAUUCGUAGAUAUCGGGAGGAACACCAGCGGCGAAGGCGGCCUUCUGGACAGUGACUGACGCUGAGACGCGAAAGCGUGGGGAGCAAACAGGAUUAGAUACCCCGGUA
rnacentral:rRNA from 1 species